GAUUAAAUGGCUGAAGUUUAGGCGUUAGAUUGUAAAUCUAUUUAUGAAAAUUAUAUUUCUUUAAUCA
rnacentral:tRNA from 1 species